rnacentral:rRNA from 1 species
UUGGAGGGCAAGUCUGGUGCCAGCAGCCGCGGUAAUUCCAGCUCCAAUAGCGUAUAUUAAAGUUGUUGCAGUUAAAAAGCUCGUAGUUGAAUUUCGGGACUGACAGGUUGGUCGCGCCUUCGGUGUGUACUGGUCUAGUCGGUUUCUCACCUUCUGACGAACCACGAUGUCAUUAAUUUGGUGUCGUGGGGAAUCAGGACUGUUACUUUGAAAAAAUUAGAGUGUUUAAAGCAGGCUUAGGCUUGAAUACAUUAGCAUGGAAUAAUGAAAUAGGACGUUUGAUCCUAUUUUGUUGGUUUCUAGGAUCGACGUAAUGAUUAAUAGGGAUAGUUGGGGGCAUUAGUAUUCAAUUGUCAGAGGCGAAAUUCUUGGAUUUAUUGAAGACUAACUACUGCGAAAGCAUUUGCCAAGGAUGUUUUCAUUAAUCAAGAACGAAAGUUAAGGGAUCGAAGACGAUCAGAUACCGUCGUAGUCUUAACCAUAAACUAUGCCGACUAGGGAUCGGAUGAUGUUAAUUUUUUAAUGACUCAUUCGGCGCCUUACGGGAAAC